UCGGGGAUAUUGCACAAUGGGCGAAAGCUUGAUGCAGCAACGCCGCGUGGGCGAUGAAGGCCUUCGGGUCGUAAAGCCCUUUUCUGGGGGAAGAGAAGCGGACGGUACCCCAGGAAUAAGCGUCGGCUAACUACGUGCCAGCAGCCGCGGUAAAACGUAGGACGCAAGCGUUAUCCGAAUUUACUGGGCGUAAAGAGCGUUGAGGCGGUUCCGUAAGUUGGGCGUGAAAGCCCCCGGCUUAACUGGGGGAGGUCGUUCAAUACUGCGGAACUUGAGGACAGCAGAGGGAGGUGGAAUUCCCGGUGUAGUGGUGAAAUGCGUAGAUAUCGGGAGGAACACCAGUGGCGAAGGCGGCCUCCUGGGCUGUUCCUGACGCUGAAGGCGAAAGCUAGGGUAGCAAACGGG
rnacentral:rRNA from 1 species